CCUACGGGGUGCUGCAGUGAGGAAUAUUGGUCAAUGGCCGUAAGGCUGAACCAGCCAUGCCGCGUGAAGGUCAGUGCCCUAUGGGCGUUAAACUUCUUUUGUGCGGGAGCAAUAAUGGUCACGUGUGGCCAGACGAGAGUACCGUACGAAUAAGCAUCGGUUAACUCCGUGCCAGCAGCCGCGGUAAUACGGGGGAUGCAAGCGUUAUCCGGAUUUAUUGGGUUUAAAGGGUGCGUAGGCUGUGAGGUAAGUCAGCGGUGAAAUGCCCGCGCUCAACGGGGUGAAGUGCCAUGGAUACUGCCUGGCUGGAAUGCGGAUGCCGUGGGAGGAAUGUGUGGUGUAGCGGUGAAAUGCAUAGAUAUCACACAGAACACCGAUUGCGAAGGCAUCUCACGAAGCCGCGAUUGACGCUGAUGCACGAAAGCGUGGGGAUCAAACAGGAUUAGAUACCCCAGUAGUC
rnacentral:rRNA from 1 species